AGAUUUCAAGUCUGGCUAAAUCCGUUCGUGUACUAGCAGACAUGGAAGAACCAAUUGGUCUGGUUUUGGAAAGAACUGAGGUUGCAGAUGGUCUUAUCUUGGAGAUGACAUUUUCCCCACUGAGUGUUCUUCUGAUUGUGUUCGAAUCUCGACCAGAUGCCCUAGUUCAGAAGACACAUCUUGUUGAUAAAGAAUGAGUAUCCUCGCCAGUCAAGAAGUCUGAAAUGGGUACAUGAUAAACACAAUAAUACUUUCAUCAAUUGGCUAAAGGAAACGCUGGGGGGAGGACGAUAUUAGAAAGGCUGUGACGAAAGUUGGUCCUAGGGUGAACUUGUGGAACUGCGAAAGGUUGGUUCCUAAUCUUGUUCUGUGGUGAUUAUAACUAUAUGGGUACUUUGUAAUCUAGGGAUUGCCGAUGCACUGAAUUCUAAUUGCUCGUUCUGUGAAUAUGGAUACCUGAUUAUAACUGGCUGGAUAUGACCCCUUUCGAAAAGAAAAUUAGUAAACUUAUAAAAACCCAUUUUCAUAAAUUGAAUAGAGUUAUUGAGAAAUAUGUAUUCAGCAAGAUGUUAUUUGAAAAUGUUAUUAUUGUCUUGAUGAUAUGGCCCUAUUAGAACAACUGAAUGACUAAGUAUAAUUUUUUUUCAAAUUCUGGAUGUGGUACAAAAACUAGUUUACACUUGUUAGCCAUCUCUAAUCUUUGAUUUCAAGGUACAGGGCAUGUUUACGCACUCAAUCCCUGGGAGAGGACAUAACCCUAACAUGGAAAUUGUUCCCAAGUAAGUUAGUCAUUUUCCUUCAGAUAGAUAAUACUUGUUUCUUGGUUGCCAGAUACACUUGAAUCUACCAUCAGAAAGAGAAAAACAAAAGGCCAAUUCUGCUUAGGGUACUUGCAUGUCUUUCUCUGUCUCAGUUCAUCAAUACGUCCAGCGUUAGAGGUCCGUGUAUGUACAAACUUGUUUUCGUGGUAACCAGGAUUAUUAUUCAGCUUGCAUGGUUGUGAAGGCUUGCUGUAGAAGAAGGCGUACAAAAUCCUCUCCAUUAGUCUCGAGGUUGUCAUGGAUUAUGCAAGUUUUUGGCUUUUCAGAUUGAACAUCAUUCUCCAGUGUUAGUGGUUGACACUAUUUGCUUGAUCUUACUUGUAGUGCUUCAGGGAAUAGACUAAAUGAGCUUGUUCUGAUGUUAAGGAUCUGUGUUUUGGUACCCUUGAUUUGAGUUAAACAAGUAGAACUCGGCAGAAAUAUGUAAUUUUUUUUUAUUUUCUUGUUCAGAAAUGAAUUUGAUUCAGACGGCAAUGAAAUAUAGUUUUUCUAUUA